rnacentral:rRNA from 1 species
GACGAACGCUGGCGGCGUGCCUAAUACAUGCAAGUCGAGCGGACCAAAGGGAGCUUGCUCCUGGAGGUUAGCGGCGAACGGGUGAGUAACACGUGGGCAACCUGCCUGUAAGACUGGGAUAACAUCGAGAAAUCGGUGCUAAUACCGGAUAAUAAAAAGAACUGCAUGGUUCUUUUUGAAAGAUGGUUUCGGCUAUCACUUACAGAUGGGCCCGCGGCGCAUUAGCUAGUUGGUGGGGUAACGGCUCACCAAGGCGACGAUGCGUAGCCGACCUGAGGGGGUGAUCGGCCACACUGGGACUGAGACACGGCCCAGACUCCUACGGGAGGCAGCAGUAGGGAAUCUUCCGCAAUGGACGAAAGUCUGACGGAGCAACGCCGCGUGAGUGAUGAAGGUUUUCGGAUCGUAAAACUCUGUUGUUAGGGAAGAACAAGUGCCGUUCGAAAGGGCGGCACCUUGACGGUACCUAACGAGAAAGCCACGGCUAACUACGUGCCAGCAGCCGCGGUAAUGU